rnacentral:piRNA from 1 species
UAUCACAGCACUUCUACUAUUCAGG